rnacentral:rRNA from 1 species
GACGAACGCUGGCGGCGUGCUUAACACAUGCAAGUCGAACGGAAAGGCCCUGCUUUUGUGGGGUGCUCGAGUGGCGAACGGGUGAGUAACACGUGAGUAACCUGCCCUUGACUUUGGGAUAACUUCAGGAAACUGGGGCUAAUACCGGAUAGGAGCUCCUCCUGCAGGGUGGGGGUUGGAAAGUUUCGGCGGUUGGGGAUGGACUGGCGGCUAAUCAGCUUGUUGGUGGGGUAGUGGCUUACCAAGGCUUUGACGGGUAGCCGGCCUGAGAGGGUGACCGGCCACAUGGGGACUGAGAUACGGACCAGACGCCUACGGUAGGCAGCAGUGGGGAAUCUUGCACAAUGGGCGGAAGCCUGAUGCAGCAACGCCGCGUUCGGGAUGACGGCCUUCGGGUUGUAAACCGCUUUCGCCUGUGACGAAGCGUGAGUGACGGUAAUGGGUAAAGAAGCACCGGCUAACUACGUG